CUGGCCCAGUUACCUCAGGAGGAAGAGUCGGGAGACGGCUGCUCGCUGUCAGCGGGGUCGUGCGGGCGUCAGGAGGCAGGUCCGCGGAGUCGCAGCGUGGAAGCUCCUCCACGUAGGCACUGCUCUGGAUCCAAAUUAAGUAGCAAAGGGAAACCGACGUCUCGAGGCCCCGCCCACUAGGGUUUAGGCCCCGCCCUUGGGGACCGCGCACGCGCACGGAAGCCGCAGGCCGGCUGCUGCGUUGCUCGUCCGCUGCUCGCCCUGCGCCUGCGUCCGCUGGAGCGGUCACCGCGGCUCGCGGUCGACUCACUGCUGUACGGAAUGGGUCUGGCGUCAGGAGCAACCCCGGCCGCCCCCACCUUCUAGAAAACCAGCAGCCAAGAGUGCCUCUCCCCCGCCCUCCUCGUCACCAUGCUUGAAGUGACGCCGCUCGGGGCGGGCAGGGCGUGGAAGCCCCGCAGGGAGGGGUUCUCUCUGAGCCCGUUCUCACUGCGCAGCCCGGGCUGGCCCCGAACCCUCCCGAGUGAAAGUGAAAUAUGCUCCUGGCAUUGGUCUUGGCUCUUAACCGCGUUUGGGCACAGUACCUUGCCCUGAGUGGCUCCGGUCCCCGGGGAGGGCAUCGGCUCCUAGACACUUCUUGUUUUCUUUCAUUUAAAAUAAACUACUUGGGCCGGGCGUUGGUGUUGCACGCCUUUAAUCCCAGCACUCGGGAGCCAGAGGCAGGCGGAUCUCUGAGUUCGAGCCCAGCCUGGCCUACAGAGCGAGCGCCAGGACAGGCUCCAAAUCUCGAAAAACAAAAAUAAAUAAAAUAAACUCCUUGCUUUUAGAAGCGCCUUCGGUUUGAACUGGAGAGGAAGGAGGUGGCCAUGGUCCAGGCUUCACACAUGGAAACUCACCUGCCUUACUAGUCAUCCGCCAGCCCUAGCCAAGGCGAUGCAGACAGGUUGUCCGCCAAGGGGAAUCUCAGAAAAGAUUCCUGGGGAGGCCGAGAGUGGGAACGUCCCACCCCCUCCUAGAAUUACAGAGUUAUAACAGUGAACAUCCACACGUGGGCGUGCGUGGGUGGCUCUUAUGCCUGCUGGGGUGAAGAUCGGGGAUCCCUUGAUCUCCAGGAGUUAGCGUGCCCGGGCAAGACCAGCUCUGUCUGGGGAGAAGCUCUCACCUCUAAGCUUCAACACUGUGCAAGGGAGGAAGCAACUCCCUCCGCGACCUUUCCCCUACUUCCCAGGGUGUCUUCUGUCUCAGAGGGGGCGGGGAUGCCCGGAAGAAGAGAGACGUGCUGGCUGGCAGGCAGAGGUCCGUGGAAUCCACUUUCCUGAGCAACCCAUCAAUUUUGGUUCGUCAUCAUACACAGCGUCUUUGCCCCUUUAACCAGAAUUCCACUUCUGCGAAUUAUCCCUCGGGUAAACUCUCACCUGUAGAGAGUGGAGAAUGGAAUUGUCGUAGUUGAGAAGGACGUAGAAAGCCCACCAAUAGAAACUGGUUAUAUAAAUCAUGGGGCAUUCAUACAAGGAUUGCCGUAAGCCAGGAUGAAAGAAAGGGCGGUCUGCACACACUUACGAAGUCUCCACGGUACGUUGUUAGGAAAAGAAGAGGGCAUUGGAUUCCCUGGAAUUGAAGUUAAGGAUAGUUGUGAGCCACCAUGUGGGUGUUGGAAACCAAAACCAGUUCUCUACGAGAGAGAACCGCUCUCAACUCACAGAGAUCCACCUGCCUCUGCCUCCUUGUGCUGGAACUAAAGGUGUGUGCCAUCAUUGCCUGGUUUAAGAUUUUCUUUAAAGACGAGGUUGCUCCAUGCAGUCCUGGCUGUCUUGGAACUUGCUGGGUGGACCAGGCUGGCCUUGGACUCACAAAACUCACAAAGAUCUUCUGCCUCUGUGUCUUGGGGUCUGGGAUUAGAGGUAUGCACCACUACAUCUGGCCAAGAUUAUAUACAUAUGGUUUAGCUCCAGCUGGCCUCAAAAUUCCAACGAUCCCACCUCAGCCUUUCAAGCUGGAAUUAUAGGUGUGUG
ensembl:lncRNA